GACGAACGCUGGCGGCGUGCUUAACACAUGCAAGUCGAACGGAAAGGCCCUGCUUUUGUGGGGUGCUCGAGUGGCGAACGGGUGAGUAACACGUGAGUAACCUGCCCUUGACUUUGGGAUAACUUCAGGAAACUGGGGCUAAUACCGGAUAGGAGCUCCUGCUGCAUGGUGGGGGUUGGAAAGUUUCGGCGGUUGGGGAUGGACUCGCGGCUUAUCAGCUUGUUGGUUGGGUAGUGGCUUACCAAGGCUUUGACGGGUAGCCGGCCUGCGAGGGUGACCGGCCACAUUGGGCCUGGGAUACGGCCCGGACUCCUACGGGAGGCAGCAGUGGGGAAUAUUGCACAAUGGGCGGAAGCCUGAUGCAGCAACGCCGCGUGCGGGAUGACGGCCUUCGGGUUGUAAACCGCUUUCGCCUGUGACGAAGCGUGAGUGACGGUAAUGGGUAAAGAAGCACCGGCUAACUACGUG
rnacentral:rRNA from 1 species